GCGCUCACUUCGGCAGCACAUGUGCUAAAACUGGAACGAUACAGAGAUUAGCAAGGCCCCUGCACAAGGAUGACACGCAAAUUUGUGAAGUGUUCCAUGUUUUU